rnacentral:lncRNA from 1 species
UCACUCUAAUAUUCUUUCUUCCUCAUUCUCCGCCGUAUCAAAUUCCAAUUCAUCUCAUUAAAGCGUUAUAUCUUUUUCCUCUAAAAAUCCCUUUUCAGUAGAAUCUUCACCAAUGCCGCUUAAUUAAGCGAUUAUUUCUCAUUCUUGUUAAAAAAUUAAAUUAUUCUCUGUUUUCUUACGCUACUUUCUCUGUUUUCCUUCUUCUAAAAAACCUUUCAAAACAAAACCCGUUUUCACCAAUUCAAC